rnacentral:sRNA from 2 species
UAACUCCAAAACAACGGAAGCCCUACCUCUCUUCCAUCCUUGCGGCUCCUAGACCGCGCCAGUGUGAAUCAAAGCUCGUACAGCACGA